UCCUUCUCCAUGCUCUUGAUG
rnacentral:siRNA from 1 species